UACGUAGGGGGCAAGCGUUGUCCGGAUUUACUGGGCGUAAAGAGCGUGUAGGCGGCCAGGGAGGUCCGUUGUGAAAACUCGAGGCUCAACCUCGAGACGCCGAUGGAAACCCCCUGGCUAGAGUCCGGAAGAGGAGAAUGGAAUUCCUGGUGUAGCGGUGAAAUGCGCAGAUAUCAGGAAGAACACCCGUGGCUAAGGCGGUUCUCUAGUACGGUACUGACGCUGAGACGCGAAAGCGUGGGGAGCGAACAGG
rnacentral:rRNA from 1 species